AUCUAAGGUGGAGAGUGGCGCACGGGUGAGUAACACAUGGCUGACCUGCCUCUCAGAGGGGGACAAGCGGUGGAAACGCCGGCUAAUACCCCAUGCUUGCGUCCUGGGUUAGAGGCCGGAUGCAGAAAGGCCGAGGCGCUGAUGGAGGGGGCUGUGGACCAUCAGCUAGUUGGUAGGGUAACGGUCUACCAAUGCGAGGACGGAUAGGGGGCCUGAGAGGGUGACCCCCCACACGGGCACUGAGACACGGGCCCGACUCCUACGGGAGGCAGCAGUAAGGGAUAUUGCGACAAUGGGCGAAAGCCUGACGCAGCAACGCCGCGUGGAGGAUGAAGGCCUUCGGGUUGUAAACUCCUUUUCUGUGGGAAGAGGAAGGACGGUACCACAGGAAGAAGUCUCGGCUAACUACUUGCCAGCAGCCGCGGUGAAACGUAGGAGGCGAGCGUUAUCCGGAUUUACUGGGUGUAAAGCGCGUGCAGGCGGCUUGGUAAGUCGAGCGUGAAAGCUCCCGGCUCAACCGGGAGAGGACGUGCGAAACUGCGAGGCUAGAGACAGGUAGAGGCGUACGGAAUUCCGGGUGUAGUGGUGAAAUGCGUAGAUAUCCGGAGGAACACCAGUGGCGAAGGCGGUACGCUGGGCCUGGUCUGACGCUAAGACGCGAAAGCAUGGGGAGCGAACGGGAUUAGAAACCCCGGUAGUCCAUGCCGUAAACGAUGCGAACUAGGUGUUGCGGGUAAAAGACCGGCAGUGCCGGAGUUAACGCGAUAAGUUAGCCACCUGGGGACUACGGUCGCAAGGCUAAAACUCAAAGGAAUUGACGGAGGCCCGCACAAGCAGUGGAGUAUGUGGUUUAAUUCGAAGCAACGCGAAGAACCUUACCAGGGCUUGACAUCCCUCGGAUAACAUAGAGAUAUGUUAGUCCUUCGGGACGAGGAGACAGUUGGUGCAUGGUUGUCGUCAGCUCGUGUCGUGAGAUGUUGGGUUAAGUCCCGCAACGAGCGCAACCCCUAUUGUUAGUUGCCAUCAUUAAGUUGGGCACUCUAACGAGACUGCCGGUGACAAAUCGGAGGAAGGUGGGGACGACGUCAAAUCAUCAUGCCCCUUAUGUCCUGGGCUACACACGUAAUACAAUGGUCACUACAAAGGGAAGCAAUACCGCAAGGAGGAGCAAAUCCCCAAAGGUGACCUCAGUUCGGAUUGUGGGCUGAAACCCGCCCACAUGAAGUCGGAAUUGCUAGUAAUGGCAGGUCAGCAUACUGUCGUGAUACGUUCCCGGGCCUUGUACACACCGCCCGUCACACCAUGAGAGUUCGCUACACCCGAAGUCAGUAGCUUA
rnacentral:rRNA from 1 species